ensembl:lncRNA
AUUUUUCCCCCUUAAUAUUUAACCAUUGACUAUAGCCAUUCAUCAUUACAGUAUAAUUGAGAGGUAUCAAUUUUAAAAUUUAUUAGACUUUUAAAAAUAACAAUGAACGGGACUUAUAGAUCGGUAGGGGUGUUGAUGCUAAUCCACCACGGGACUCCGGUAAGAAGCGUGACAGGAGACAGGGCACUGUUCAACUCUUUAUCUGAAGUAUUUUAGGGUUCACAGCAGAUGGCACAACAUUGCUUCAAUUAGAGUGUACAAAUUAUGGCCACAAAGUGUUAAAUGUGGUCUUUCUGAAAUAAACAGAAUAAACAAACAUCAGUUUGCAUCUGCUAAAUGUAAAUUACAGACGUGUAAUAGAACUAACAACUUGCUACUGUCACAUUAUACAUUAAUCAACAUGAGAGGAUUAACAGUAGCGAGCAUACACAUUUGAAUCACGGUAUAUCUUAAAUAUAACAACAUUAUAAACAAUGUAAGGUUCGAUUACACAAGCUGAAUAUUUAAACACACCAACGAAAUAAACAUAGCUGAUUUAUAAUCAGGAAUGAUUAAAUAAACUUACAUUCAAUCACGCACAUUAACACCUGAUGAAAUGGCGGAGCAAGCGGCUAGUGAAAGUGAAAGUAAAAGAGGAAUAGCGGAACUCGCAUCAACUAGCGGCACACAUUCAUAAUAAAAGUCCUUCCACUAUAAACAUACAUAGUGAAUUUAGAACAAACAACUUAUAAUUUAAGUGAACUUAAAUGGGUCCUAUUAUGCAUUUUCACUUUUUGCAUUUUAGUCAGUGUGUAUGUUUGGCCAUAAAAUAGAUCUAGUCAAGUCAAGUCAAGUCACCUUUAUUUAUAUAGCACUUCAAACAAAAAAGAUUGUGUCAAAGCAACUGAACAACAUUAAUUAGGAAAACAGUGUGUCAAUAAUGCAAAAUGACAGUUAAAGGCAUUUCAUCAUUGAAUUCAGUGAUGUCAUCAUGCAGUUCAGUUCAGUUUGAAUAGUAUCUGUGCAAUAAUUUGCAAUGAAGUCAACGAUAUUGCUGUA